AUCCCUGCAGGGACUCACUAGCUUUUGACCUCAAAUCUUCAAUAAGGGAGUCUCUUGAAAACCAGGAGCAGUAACACACCAAGGGAUGUAGUUCUGAUGGCAGGAUUUCAAGCUCAGGCUAGGAGAGGCAACCUGCUGUGCCAAAGGCCACCGAGUCAGGGCUUUGGACUCAGACCUGGAAGCAGAUCCUGCCCUCCUGCUUUGUGUUGCGACAGCCUCCUCCUCAAAGGGGCUUUUAUAUUUUAAAAACAGCAAAUCCAUAACGAAACCCCUCAAAUGUCACCGCAACAUGGAGCAAUCUGACCUUUCAUCCUCGUUGAUGGAGGCGAGUGAGGCAAGGACCCCCACAGAUGGAUGGCGUGAGAGGAAAAGCUGAAUCCGGGUGCAGCUGUGCGCGCGGUGCGGGGUGGAUGCGGCCGGCUCCCCCUCAGCUGGCCGACCGACACCGGCGUUAAGGCCCGAGAAGCUGCAGCGAAUGUCCCGGGUUCAGUGGCUGCACAGCUGGCCAGUGGGCAGCCGCUUCCUUCGAGAUGGACCCAGGGGAUGGCAUCGAGACAGCAAGGGCCACCUGUCUGUACCCUGCCUCCCGGGAUGCCUGGGGCACUGGCUGGUCUCCUGGGCUCUCCCCACCUCAUGCUUUCAUCUGAGCCUUUACCAGGCCACGCACAGCUACCGACCCAGGACCUCUGAGAGCAGAGGUCUGGCCCUCUGCCUGCUUUUGCAUGGCCCGUGAGCUGAGAAGAGUUUUCACACCCUGAAAUGGUGUGAAAUUCUUAAAAAAAAAAAAAAAAAGUAAUAUUUUGUGACAUGUGACAGUCAUACAAUUCAAAUGUCAGUGUCCAUAAAUAGGGCCUUGUUCCCUCGUUGUGUAGUCUUGGGCCACUUUCACGCUACAGGCAGGGCUGGAGGAGGGGCGACAGAGGACAGAUGGCCAGAAAAACCUGAACUACCUAUUAUCUGGUGCUUUGCAGAGAAAGUGUGCCGAUCCCCGACUUAGAUCCCUCCUUCCAGGGGCAUUUGAACUUUAAUUGACUCUCCUGUCUUAAGCAGCAGAGAUGAAGUCCUUCAUGGCAGACUCUAGACGCCUAUCCACGGCAAGUGGCUCCCUCCGGCUGACUCGGCCAGGAGAAGGUGUGGGGAAAAUUAGAGCCGAGGAACAAAGAGCCCCCAGGUUGUGAAAGAGCAGACUGGAGUUUCUAAUUCUGGCUUCAACUAACUAAUAAUUAUGUGAUCUGAGUGAAACGGCUUCUCCCAUCCUGGUGCUUUUCUCAUCCAUUCAGAAUCUGCCCUCUUGGCCUCAAACGGGGAGAUAAUAGCUGUGAAAUGCUUUGUGAUCUAAAAUGCUUUGUGAUCUAAAGCAUCACUCAAAUGCAAAGAUCAGCCAGGCUCUGGAAUCCUGAUAAGGUACACUACUUCCUCUCCAGGCGAAGGGAGCAGAAGGGACCGCAAGUGUUGCAAUGCUGUUCUCAUCCAUCCCCAGUCAAGAUGCUUGGUUUGGCAACAAGACUGUGGCAGAUCCGUGGCAUCUGUGCCGUUGACGUUCAGUCAUUCCCAAACCACCCGGAAGGUCCCCGGCUGUCCACUUGUCAUUUUGCUGAGACACAGAACCGACUUACGCGGUUGCUGCUCACUGAGUGAAUCUAGCGGACGGACAAGCAGCCUCAUCCCAGGACGGCUCCCUCUUCUCUUGUUAGAACAGAUGUAAUAACUAAUAAAGUGAU